AAUUACAAAGAUGCCCUCGUCCCGGCAUUAAAUACACCUCCCCGCUCGGCCUGAUCCCCUCCCCCUUCCCUCUUCUCCGCCUCCGAUUGGAGUGGCUCGCCUUCUUCCCCGCAGCCAGCACGAGCUUGUCGAGAUUUCAGCUCGUUUCUCCGCCAGAGGUCGAGCAGGCCAGCCUCCCAGGACCGAAGCUCUGCCCGGUUCGCCAGUCCAGGAACUGCUGCUCUCCCGGAGCCAGAGAUCCAAACAAACCUCUGCGUUGGGGUUCUCCGGGGUUCCUUGCGCUGGAGGGAGGUUUCGUUCUCGCCGGCCAUGGUUUGGCUGAGAAGAAGCAGCAGCAUAUUGAUGCGAAAUCUCUGAGCUUUAUGAAGAUCGCCACUCACCUGCGCCGCUCCUGCUUCCUCCACUCCUUCUCGGUCGUCUUCCUCUACUGGUUUUAUGUGAUCUCGUAACUUGCCCUCCCCCGGAUCCGCCAUUCCCCGUGCCCUCUCUCUCUCUCUCUCUCUCUCUCUCUCUCUCUCUCUCUCUCUCUCUCUCUCUCUCUCUCUCUCUCUCUCUCUCUCU